UAGCAAGCCUCCAGCGUGCCUGGGUCUGCUGUGACCCUGUGCAUUCCUACAGUGCUUGCUAGAACAGUUUUGAAACGGUUUGAGGCCUUGCCCUGCUCUAUCCAGAGCAAGGUUAUAGAAAUUUCAGACAAUU
ensembl:snoRNA small nucleolar RNA, H/ACA box 9